rnacentral:rRNA from 1 species
CAUAUCAAAAAGCGGAGGAAAAGAAACUAACAAGGAUUCCCCUAGUAGCGGCGAGCGAAGCGGGAAGAGCUCAAAUUUGUAAUCUGGCGCUUUCAGCGUCCGAGUUGUAAUCUCUAGAAAUGUUUUCCGCGUUGGACCGCACACAAGUCUGUUGGAAUACAGCGGCACAGUGGUGAGACCCCCGUUCAUGGUGCGGAUGCCCAAUGCUUUGUGAUACAUUUUCGAAGAGUCGAGUUGUUUGGGAAUGCAGCUCAAAUUGGGUGGUAAAUUCCAUCUAAAGCUAAAUAUUGGCGAGAGACCGAUAGCGAACAAGUACCGUGAGGGAAAGAUGAAAAGCACUUUGGAAAGAGAGUUAACAGUACGUGAAAUUGUUGGAAGGGAAACGCUUGAAGUCAGACUUGCUGUUCGGAGUUCAGCCGCAAGGUGUACUCUCCGAGUUGCAGGCCAGCAUCAGUUUUUCGGGGUGGAAAAUCACGGUUUGAAGGUAGCAGUUUCGGCUGUGUUAUAGCUUUCCGUUGGAUACAUCCUGGGGGACUGAGGAACGCAGUGUGCUUUUAGCGGAGGUUUCGACCUCUUCACACUUAGGA